AAUGCGUGUUCAGUCAAAUAAUUUUGUUUUUGUUUUCAUUACCGCUUUGAUUACGAAAACAUCCGUUUAUUUUGAUAAGAAUAUUUGCAUUUUGAAACAUGGAGGUCCCUUCCGAUGCAUGCUUAUAAGAUUGAAAUCUGGAAAUCUUAUUCGGAAGUUUGAGUGACCAAGAUGUUGAAGUGUUGGCACGCCGGGGGCACG
rnacentral:lncRNA from 1 species